GGAGAUGAGACAGAAAGGACAGAAAACCUUACGGCUACAGAAAAUAAGGCCAUUUAGUUUUCGAAGCGAACUUCAAUAAGCCGAAUAUGAUACGGAAUAGACCGAGAUAGCCCGAAAUGUAAGGGUAGGUGAGGGGAGGAUCAGAACCAUGGUCCCCGAGGCCAUUAUUAACCCAACUACGCCUGUAACGGAACGUGUUGAGUGAGGUAGAGGGAGCAGAGUGGGUCUGCUGGUUCAGUGAUAGACCGACCGUCGUGGUGGAAGGAGUGCUGUGUGUAUUCUCUCUCCACGCGACGUUCGCGACGUGCUUCGUAUCUUCUUCAUAUUAGUAGUCUGAGUUUUAUUCUCAUAUUUUUCACACCUGUUGGUCAAGGAAAAGCCGCCAAAAUUUUCCCUCACGACCUCAUCCGCAUUCCAUCUGUUGCCGUGGAGAACAGAGGCGCCACCGUCACGCUGGAGUCCACGUGCCAUAAACGGAGAAAAUGUGAAAUUCGUGGCGACGCAGAUGGCAAAGAGCCUAAAGAUCUGACAUCAUCAAGGACCAUGUUUCCCAGUGCUCAGAUCAAAAUGAGGUUGCUCUCACCGAGCAGUUCGCCCGCCACAUCGCCCACCAUGUCCAACUCUUCGUCUCCCACGCCUCCCGCCCUCAACUACAACCACAAAAUCACGGGGAUCCCCUGCGUCGCUGCUGCAUCUCGUUACACGGCGCCGGUCCACAUCGACGUUGGGGGCACCAUCUACACGUCAUCGCUCGAGACGCUAA